rnacentral:rRNA from 1 species
AGAGUUUGAUCCUGGCUCAGGAUGAACGCUAGCUACAGGCUUAACACAUGCAAGUCGAGGGGAAACGACAUCGAAAGCUUGCUUUUGAUGGGCGUCGACCGGCGCACGGGUGAGUAACGCGUAUCCAACCUGCCCACCACUUGGGGAUAACCUUGCGAAAGUAAGACUAAUACCCAAUGACGUCUCUAGAAGACAUCUGAAAGAGAUUAAAGAUUUAUCGGUGAUGGAUGGGGAUGGCGUCUGAUUAGCUUGGUUGGCGGGGUAACGGCCACCAAGGCGACGAUCAGUAGGGGUUCUGGAGAGGAACGGUCCCCCACAUUGGAACUGGAGACACGGUCCAAACGUCCUACGGGGAGGCA